rnacentral:rRNA from 1 species
CAAUAGCGUAUAUUAAAGUUGUUGCAGUUAAAAAGCUCGUAGUCGGAUUUCGACCGCAGCUGUGCGGUCCGCUGAGUGCGGCUACUGCACGGUUGGGUCUCUCAUCUGGUCUGUCCCAUGCUACUCUUCAGUGAGUGGCAUGGGUAGCCGGAACGUUUACUUUGAGAAAAUCAGCGUGCUCAAAGCAGGCUUACUGCUCGAAUAGUAGUGCAUGGAAUGAUAGAAUAGGACCUUCGGCCCUAUUUGUUGGUUUUUGGACCGAGGUAAUGGUUAAUAGAGACAGACGGGGGCAUUCGUACUGCGGUGUUAGAGGUGAAAUUCGAAGAUCGCCGCAAGACGAACAACAGCGAAAGCAUUUGCCAUGGAUGUUUUCAUUGA